GUCACUUUGGCGGAGUGUUUAACGCGCUGCCCUGCUAAGGCAGUUCGGAGCGUAGGUUCGAAUCCUACAAGUAACG
rnacentral:tRNA from 1 species